ensembl:lncRNA
AGGAUCCACCCCUUCCUAGACCUCAUUUAAGGGUUGGCAGGGGAGGCAAGAAUGUCUUGCUUGAGAUUCCUGUCUACCUGAGGCCUUCUAAGGCCUAGGUGAAGGGAAUAUAGCCUGGAGUCUCCUUGCAGGUGUUGUGAUACCUAUGUGGUACUCUUGGGACAGGCUCUUUUAUGGCUACCUUCAAGGGGAAAAAAACUGCAAAGAUAGGAUGAAGAUAAUGGUAGCAAAAGCAAGAUAUUCUUUGCCAUUUCUGCCUGAGCUUGCUGUAUGUGCUACACCUCGUCCUGUCACCCCUUGAUUUGAACUAGAGAAGGUUCAGCCAUGUCCCGCAGCAGCAACUGCCAGGGUGGGAACAAUGCUGACUGGUAGAUGUCAUGUCUGAGGGAUGUUUCUGCCUGGAGAGUAAUUAUGGGACAACAGCUCAGCCCUCACUUCUCUGAUGACCUUCUCCAGAACCUGAAGGAAACAUACUGGGAAAGCCACAUACUGAUUUUACCAGUGCCAUAAUUUAGAGAUCACCCAGCCUCAGCAUCCAGACUUUGUUGCUCCACCUAGACGAGUCUCGGGUCACACCCCAAGGAGUGGGAGACAUCCAAGCCACAGGAUUGACACACAGAAGUGACCUGACUCCCCAGCAGAAUGUUGCAGUUUCACUGCCAUUGAUUGACAAAGGCAGCAUUCUUUAAUCGAGGGAAAAAGAACAUGCAUAUAUGUAUCAGCCCAGGUAUUGCUUGGCUGUGCCCAGCCAAAUCUGAGAUACGCUGUGAGUCUGAGCCCUCAUGGUCACUGGCUGGGUGCUGGGGCUGGGGCCCAGAUUUUGUUGCAAAAUCGUCAGAAUUUCAAGACUCAGCUAGUGGCUCUUAGUGCUAGUGAAUUAGUCUGAUGCUUGUCACUGGAUGUG